UGCCAGCCGCCGCGGUAAUACGAAGGGUGCUAGCGUUGUUCGGAAUUACUGGGCGUAAAGCGGGGGUAGGCGGUUAAGCAAGUCGGGUGUGAAAUCCCUGGGCCCAACCCAGGAACUGCACUCGAUACUGCUCGACUAGAGUCCCGGAGAGGAUGGCGGAAUUCCAGGUGUAGAGGUGAAAUUCGUAGAUAUCUGGAGGAACACCAGUGGCGAAGGCGGCCAUCUGGACGGUGACUGACGCUGAGAUCCGAAAGUGUGGGGAGCAAACAGGAUUAGAUAC
rnacentral:rRNA from 1 species